rnacentral:tRNA from 1 species
GGAGAAAUGGCUGAGUGGUUAAAAGCGGUAGACUGUAAAUCUGUUGAAUUGGUUUCUACGUAGGUUCAAAUCCUGCUUUCUCCA